CGAGAAAGUAACACGAAAGACGAAAUUAACGAUAACAGGGAACCGAGGAAAGGCACAAAUUCUGCUCGCAGUGACAGACGCAGAUCUCAAGAGAACAAGGAUCGAAAGGCGGUUGAUAAUCCGCGGGCUUCGUCGGUCGAAAAACGGAAGCACGACGAGAGCAGCGUUGGUGAAACGAAUCGCGAAGAUCGGCGAACGAUGCGCCGGCGCAUAGAAUCAAACUCGAUUGGCAAAAAUUUCGACGGCGCGAAUCGGUCUUCGAAACGGGUUUCGAGCCAAAAUCGGCGUCGUCGGGUCAACCGAAAGUCGACGAUGAAAAACGGACGAAGACGACACCGGCAGGGGAAAGAGAUCCUGGGAAUGUCCGAAGCGUCGAAGACGAUCGCGAAUCGAACUCCGAGGCGACGUACCACCAGAUCAUCCUGCGCCAUUGUCCCCCAUUACAAAUCGGGCGAGGUUUCGUUACCGGCUGUUCCGAAACGCGUUUUUAAGGCCCUGCAUAUGCUUCGUCAUGAGAAAUUCUUACGAGCCGUUUCCCGCUACAUCAAACCAGCCAAUUCACUG